AAAAGCCAUCUGUAGCGGAUGGGUGCAGUUCAGGAGACAGCUGUUCUCCAGCCUUUCUGGAGGGAUGCAGAGCCUUUCCUUAGGACAAACAAGAGAGAACAACCUGACAUAAACUAGCAAGCCAAUAGGUGAAGUUUUGACACACCUCCUUUAAUAAAGCCUUUGCUUAGGGAGCAACUUUCAAAGUAAAUGACGAUGCCAGAUUUGGAAGAAUUCUAGAGUAAAAGAAACUCGUGCCAUUGCCUCACUUGUUGCAAUGAAUAAAUUGGUAUAAUUUUACAAUGGAACAACUGCGUGUAUUCUUUUGCUGCCUGAAGACCUGAGUGUUGGGCUCCUCUUCAUAAAAGUUUCCAUGACAAUCUGGCCUGAGAGAAUGACAG
rnacentral:sRNA from 1 species